AGACGGAGGGGGCUAGCGUUGUUCGGAAUUACUGGGCGUAAAGCGCGCGUAGGCGGUCCGUUUAGUUAGGCGUGAAAGGCCUGGGCUCAACCCGGGAACUGCGCUUAAAACUGGCGGGCUAGAGUCCGGGAGGGGGUGGCGGAAUUCCCAGUGUAGAGGUGAAAUUCGUAGAUAUUGGGAAGAACACCAGUGGCGAAGGCGGCCACCUGGCCCGGUACUGACGCUGAGGUGCGAAAGCGUGGGGAGCAAACAGGAUUAGAUACACCAGUAGUCC
rnacentral:rRNA from 1 species